rnacentral:lncRNA from 1 species
CUCCAAGUGAAAAUUUAAAAUUACUGCAGUUUUGGCCUGAUGAUGUUAACCAGCAAGAACAGAAUCUGAAACCAGAUGAGCUGUUAGUACUGCUUUCAUCUGUUUUACAGCCACAGCGACAGCAGUUCCCUGGCUUCUGGAAGGAGUGUCGGUCUAUCCAAAAAAUGUACUAACAGAUAUGUAAAGUCUGUCAUCCAUUUGCAGCAAAUUUUGCCUACGGUAUGAAAUAGGAGUUCAAUUUGACAUUGAAUAUUGAUAUCUUAGCAAUAUUAUCUCCCAAUCUGUGAACACGAAAUUUCUUUAUAUUUAUUCAAAUUAUCUUUGGUUUUUAAUGAUGUUAAAUCCAAGUAUUCUUUGUGAUGCUGUUGUAAAUGGAAUUUUUUGUGUUGUUCAUUGCUAAUGUAUAAAAACCAAUGAUGUUUGUAUAUUAAUCUUGUAUCCUGCAACCUCAUUGAACUAGUUUAUUAGCUCUAGUAAUAUGUUGGUGUGAAUCCCUUAAUAUUUUCUACAUACAAGAUCAUGUCAUCUGCAAAUUGUUUUACUUCUUCCUUUCCAAUUUGGAUGCUUUUUAUUUCAUCUUGCCUACUGCUUUGGCUACAACCUCCAGUACAAGAUUGAAUAGAAGUGAUGAGACAGAACAUCCUUGUCUUAUUUGUGAUCUCUGGGGGGGAAGGCUUACAGUAUUUUGCAUCAACAUAUCAGCUACGGGUUUUUCAUAGAUGUCCUUUCUCAGGAUGAAAAAGUCCAUGUUUGGCUUUUUGAAUGUUUUCAUCUAAGAGUUUUGGAUUUUGCCAAAUGUUAAAUGCUUCUUCUGUAUGCAUUGAGAUGAUCUUGUUGUUUUUGUCCUUUAUUCUAAUAAUAUGGUGUACUACAUUGAUUUCUGUAUGUUGAAGUUUGUAUUCCUAAGAUAAAUC